rnacentral:rRNA from 1 species
GAUGAACGCUGGCUACAGGCUUAACACAUGCAAGUCGUGGGGAAACGGCAUUAUGUGCUUGCACAUUCUGGACGUCGACCGGCGCACGGGUGAGUAUCGCGUAUCCAACCUGCCCCUUACUUGGGGAUACCCCGUUGAAAGACGGCCUAAUACCCGAUGUGUUUCAUUGACGGCAUCCGAUAUGAAACAAAGGUUUUCCGGUAAGGGAUGGGGAUGCGUCUGAUUAGCUUGUUGGCGGGGCAACGGCCCACCAAGGCGACGAUCAGUAGGGGUUCUGAGAGGAAGGUCCCCCACAUUGGAACUGAGACACGGUCCAAACUCCUACGGGAGGCAGCAGUGAGGAAUAUUGGUCAAUGGACGCAAGUCUGAACCAGCCAAGUAGCGUGCAGGAUGACGGCCCUAUGGGUUGUAAACUGCUUUUAUGUGGGAAUAAAUUGGCGCACGUGUGCGCCA